rnacentral:rRNA from 1 species
AGAGUUUGAUCCUGGCUCAGAACAAACGCUGGCGGCGUGCCUAACACAUGCAAGUCGUACGAGAAAGGGUCCUUCGGGACCUGAGUAAAGUGGCGCACGGGUGAGUAACGCGUGGAUAAUCUACCCCUCAGUUGGGAAUAACUCAUCGAAAGGUGGGCUAAUACCGAAUAACACUGCAAGACCUUGGUCGAACAGUCAAAGAGAGCCUCUGCUUGCAAGCCCUCGCUGAAGGAUGAGUCCGCGUACCAUUAGCUAGUUGGUAGGGUAAUGGCCUACCAAGGCGACGAUGGUUAGCUGGUCUGAGAGGAUGAUCAGCCACACUGGAACUGAGAUACGGUCCAGACUCCUACGGGAGGCAGCAGUGAGGAAUCUUGCGCAAUGGGGGCAAGCCUGAACCAGCCAUCCCGCGUGAAGGAUGAAGGCCCUAUGGGUCGUAAACUUCUUUUAUACACCAAGAAAAAUUCCGACGUGUCGGGACUCGACGGUAGUGUAUGAAUAAGCAUCGGCUAACUCCGUGCCAGCAGCCGCGGUAAUACGGAGGAUGCAAGCGUUAUCCGGAUUCAUUGGGUUUAAAGGGUGCGUAGGCGGCUUUUUAAGUCAGUGGUGAAAUCUUGCCGCUUAACGGUAAAAUUGCCAUUGAUACUGAAAAGCUUGAGUACAUUUGAGGUAAGCGGAAUGUGUAGUGUAGCGGUGAAAUGCUUAGAUAUUACACAGAACACCAAUUGCGAAGGCAGCUUACUAAACUGUUACUGACGCUGAUGCACGAAAGCGUGGGGAGCGAACAGGAUUAGAUACCCUGGUAGUCC